rnacentral:rRNA from 1 species
AAUAUUGCACAAUGGGCGCAAGCCUGAUGCAGCGACGCCGCGUGGGUGAAGAAGGAUUUCGGUCUGUAAAGCCCUUUUCUGUGUGACGAGAGUGGACGGUAGCACAGGAAUAAGUCUCGGCUAACUACGUGCCAGCAGCCGCGGUAAAACGUAGGAGGCAAGCGUUAUCCGGAGUAACUGGGCGUAAAGGGCGAGUAGGUGGUUUGAUAAGUUGGUUAUGAAAGCUCCUGGCUAAACUGGGAGAGGCUGACCAAGACUGUCAGACUUGAGUGGAGAAGAGGUCAACGGAAUUCCGCGUGUAGUGGUGAAAUGCGUAGAGAUGCGGAAGAACACCAGUGGCGAAGGCGGUUGACUGGUCUCCAACUGACACUGAACCGCGAAAGCAUGGGUAGCGAAC